rnacentral:rRNA from 1 species
GCGGUAAGGCCCUUCGGGGUACACGAGCGGCGAACGGGUGAGUAACACGUGAGCAACCUGCCCCUGACUCCGGGAUAAGCGGUGGAAACGCCGUCUAAUACCGGAUACGACCUCCCACCUCAUGGUGGAGGGUGGAAAGUUUUUCGGUCAGGGAUGGGCUCGCGGCCUAUCAGCUUGUUGGUGGGGUAACGGCCUACCAAGGCGAUUACGGGUAGCCGGCCUGAGAGGGCGACCGGCCACACUGGGACUGAGACACGGCCCAGACUCCUGCGGGAGGCAGCAGUGGGGAAUAUUGCGCAAUGGGCGAAAGCCUGACGCAGCGACGCCGCGUGGGGGAUGACGGCCUUCGGGUUGUAAACCUCUUUUACCACCAACGCAGGCUCCCAGUUCUCUGGGGGUUGACGGUAGGUGGGGAAUAAGGACCGGCUAACUACGUGCCAGCAGCCGCGGUAAUACGUAGGGUCCGAGCGUUGUCCGGAAUUAUUGGGCGUAAAGAGCUCGUAGGCGGCGUGUCGCGUCUGCUGUGAAAGACCGGGGCUUAACUCCGGUUCUGCAGUGGAUACGGGCAUGCUAGAGGUAGGUAGGGGAGACUGGAAUUCCUGGUGUAGCGGUGAAAUGCGCAGAUAUCAGGAGGAACACCGGUGGCGAAGGCGGGUCUCUGGGCCUUACCUGACGCUGAGGAGCGAAAGCAUGGGGAGCGAACAGGAUUAGAUACCCUGGUAGUCCAUGCCGUAAACGUUGGGCGCUAGGUGUGGGGACUUUCCACGGUUUCCGCGCCGUAGCUAACGCAUUAAGCGCCC